AGGACGAACGCUGGCGGCGUGCUUAACACAUGCAAGUCGAGCGGAAAGGCCCGUUCGGGGUACUCGAGCGGCGAACGGGUGAGUAACACGUGAGUAAUCUGCCCCUAGCUCUGGGAUAGCUCCGGGAAACCGGGAUUAAUACUGGAUACGACCACCUUAGACAUCUUUUGUGGUGGAAAGAAUUUCGGCUAGGGAUGAGCUCGCGGCCUGUCAGCUUGUUGGUGGGUAACGGCCUACCAAGGCGACGACGGGUA
rnacentral:rRNA from 1 species